UACGUAGGAUGCAAGCGUUGUCCGGAAUUAUUGGGCGUAAAGCGAACGUAGGCGGCCUUUUAAGUUUGGUCUUAAAGACCGGGGCUCAACCCCGGGAAUGGACUGAAUACUGGGAGGCUGGAGGAUGUCAGAGGAAGGUGGAAUUCCGAGUGUAGCGGUGAAAUGCGUAGAUAUUCGGAGGAACACCAGUGGCGAAAGCGACCUUCUGGGGCAUUCCUGACGCUGAGGUUCGAAAGCUCGGGGAGCAAACAGG
rnacentral:rRNA from 1 species